CCUACGGGAGGCAGCAGUGGGGAAUAUUGGUCAAUGGACGCAACUCUGACCCAGCAACGCCGCGUGAAUGAUGACGGUCCUCGGAGUUUAAAGCUCUGUUAUGCGGGAUGAACACGAUGAUGGUACCCCAAUACCAAACCACGCCUAACUACGUGCCAGCAUCCGCGCUAAUCCGGAGGGGGCGAUCAUCAGCCGGAAUGAAGGGGGGUAAAGGGGUCGUGGGUGGUUGAGUAAGGUGGAGGUGUAAUUCCGGGGGUGAACCUCGGAGUUACCGCUAAAACUAUGAGUCUAGAGGGCAGGAGAGGUAAGUGGAAUGCGUGGUGUAGCGGUGGAAUGCGUAGAUAUUAGGAGGAACAUCGGGGGCGAAGGCGACUUACUGGGCUGUAACUGACGCUGAGGCACGAAAGCGUGGGGAGCAAACAGGAUUAGAUACCCGAGUAGUC
rnacentral:rRNA from 1 species